GACGAACGCUGGCGGCGUGCUUAACACAUGCAAGUCGAACGGAAAGGCCCUGCUUUUGUGGGGUGCUCGAGUGGCGAACGGGUGAGUAACACGUGAGUAACCUGCCCUUGACUUUGGGAUAACUUCAGGAAACUGGGGCUAAUACCGGAUAGGAGCUCCUGCUGCAUGGUGGGGGUUGGAAAGUUUCGGCGGUUGGGGAUGGACUCGCGGCUUAUCAGCUUGUUGGUGGGGUAGUGGCUUACCAAGGCUUUGACGGGUAGCCGGCCUGAGAGGGUGACCGGCCACAUUGGGACUGAGAUACGGCCCAGACUCCUACGGGAGGCAGCAGUGGGGAAUAUUGCACAAUGGGCGGAAGCCUGAUGCAGCAACGCCGCGUGCGGGAUGACGGCCUUCGGGUUGUAAACCGCUUUCGCCUGUGACGAAGCGUGAGUGACGGUAAUGGGUAAAGAAGCACCGGCUAACUACGUGCCAGCAGCCGCGGUGAUACGUAGGGUGCGAGCGUUGUCCGGAUUUAUUGGGCGUAAAGGGCUCGUAGGUGGUUGAUCGCGUCGGAAGUGUAAUCUUGGGGCUUAACCCUGAGCGUGCUUUCGAUACGGGUUGACUUGAGGAAGGUAGGGGAGAAUGGAAUUCCUGGUGGAGCGGUGGAAUGCGCAGAUAUCAGGAGGAACACCAGUGGCGAAGGCGGUUCUCUGGGCCUUUCCUGACGCUGAGGAGCGAAAGCGUGGGGAGCGAACAGGCUUAGAUACCCUGGUAGUCCACGCUGUAAACGGUGGGUACUAGGUGUGGGGUCCAUUCCACGGGUUCCGUGCCGUAGCUAACGCUUUAAGUACCCCGCCUGGGGAGUACGGCCGCAAGGCUAAAACUCAAAGGGAUUGACGGGGCCCCGCACAAGCGGCGGAGCAUGCGGAUUAAUUCGAUGCAACGCGUAGAACCUUACCUGGGUUUGACAUGGAUCGGGAGCGCUCAGAGAUGGGUGUGCCUCUUUUGGGGUCGGUUCACAGGUGGUGCAUGGCUGUCGUCAGCUCGUGUCGUGAGAUGUUGGGUUAAGUCCCGCAACGAGCGCAACCCUUGUUCACUGUUGCUAGCACGUUAUGGUGGGGACUCAGUGGAGACCGCCGGGGUCAACUCGGAGGAAGGUGGGGAUGACGUCAAGUCAUCAUGCCCCUUAUGUCCAGGGCUUCACGCAUGCUACAAUGGCUGGUACAGAGAGUGGCGAGCCUGUGAGGGUGAGCGAAUCUCGGAAAGCCGGUCUCAGUUCGGAUUGGGGUCUGCAACUCGACCUCAUGAAGUCGGAGUCGCUAGUAAUCGCAGAUCAGCAACGCUGCGGUGAAUACGUUCCCGGG
rnacentral:rRNA from 1 species